rnacentral:rRNA from 1 species
UACGUAGGGUGCAAGCGUUGCCCGGAUUUAUUGGGCGUAAAGGGCGCGCAGGCGGCCGAGCACGUCCGUUGUGAAAUCGCCUGGCUCAACUGGGCGGGUCAGCGGAUACGGCUAGGCUGGAGCAAGCUAGGGGGCAAUGGAAUUCCCGGUGUAGUGGUGGAAUGCGUAGAUAUCGGGAGGAACACCAGUGGCGAAGGCGGUUGCCUGGAGCUUUGCUGACGCUGAGGCGCGAAAGCGUGGGGAGCGAUCCGG